AUUUAAGUUGCGCAGCGGAAGCGUGGUGGGCUUAUAAUCCACAAGUCCCAGGAUUGAAACCUGACUCUGAUA
rfam:Gossypium raimondii Chr13_contig_996, whole genome shotgun sequence.